CCACUUGAGGACGAAGAGAUAAUCUCCUAUCUCCUUGCUGGCUUGGACAACGACUACGACCCCUUGGUCGAGGUCGUCACGGUGCCGCGCGCAACGCCGAUCCAGCUGCGUGAUCUGUAUGCGCAGCUCCUCAGCACCGAGU